UAAACAAGAAAGUUUUAGAAAAAAAAAGAAUCCUCCAUCUCUAUAUAAUAUGGUUAGUUUUCUUGUUACAGGCACAGAUCUCUUGCUUCUAGAACCAGUAAACACAGUAAAAUAUUUAAUAUUUUCGGUUGAAAAAUUUAAGCAGUACAUCCUAGAUCAUACCAACAAAACAUUCAAGAUGAACGGAUUUAUCGUAGCUGUUUUUGCAGCCAUUGUUCUUGCCACUGCUCAAGCUCAGCAAAUGCCAGGAAUGGGAGGAUUCUUGCCGGGAGCUGGAAUUGGAGGUCUUUUACAAGGACUAGGCGGAAUGGGCGGCAUGGGCGGCAUGGGUGGUAUGGGGGGUAUGGGAGGAGGUUUGGGUAGCAUGGGUGGUAUGGGUGGUAUGAGCCGUAUGGGAGGUAUGGGAGGUAUGGGCGGU